rnacentral:tRNA from 1 species
CUGCAUAACGGCAGCGGUACCUGUGGAGGACUGGUGCUUUUCCCUGACGGUUUCGAUGCUGGCCCGCAGCGGUUCCAGGUCCGCUUGCGCGGCC